rnacentral:lncRNA from 1 species
CUGAUUUCCCCAGGCCGACGAGCUUCUCCACCACUCCCAGGUCCAACAUCUGCUCCAUGCAUGUCAUGUUUCCCAUUUCGACUAUAUCGAGGAUCAGUAGCAUGCUCAGCUUCCUGGUCACGACGGAUCCGGCGCUGAGAAACCGAACCAGCUCCAGCACCAGGCGAGGCUCUUGGAGCUCUAUCAGAACCAUGUCUCCUCCCUUGCAGAGCAACAUCUGUUGGAACGCCGUAUAGGCCGAAUCCUGGACGUCCGCUACCUGGCUAUUCAUCAUCUUCACCUGCUCAGAACAAUGUCGUGGUCUAGCAACUUCUGGACGACUUCUUCUCCUUCUGAGCAAGCCAGUUUCGUCAGCAGGAACGCCGAAUCCACCUUAUCCAUUUUGGAACCUCCAUCCUUCAAUACGUCUGCCAAGCGUUCUACCAACGGACUGCGUAAUAUCAUCUCCCGGAUUCUCGGGUCCCCUCCUUUCUCGAUUACUGCGACGACAUCAUUGGUGUAAUCCACGAUCUGCGCAUCAUCUCCAUUUAAAAACUCUCUUGAGUAAAAAUUCUACCCUCCGAGGGUCUGAACCUACCGCUGCGGAUAUACCGGACAAGAGAAUUUUCUCCAGCCAGAGUUUUGCACGCCAGGGUAGACGAUUCAACUGAUCGGGCUCGAAAACCUCGAGCUGCCAGCCCAUCUCGUAGAAAGCUUGUAUAAUAUCUAUGGCACGGUUCUGACACACCUCUGAGCCAUGUUCCAGCAGAUCCAUGAGACCUAUGUCAAUCCCUGAUUCAACCAUCAUCUGCACUGCCUCAGAUUUCCCCGCAUUAAUGAAGGACGUUAUUGUCCCAAACACACAGUCAUGCCAUUCUUCUGCAUCGGGCGACAGCAAUUCUGCAAGAUGAUCCAUUGGGACAUUCACCAGAACCUUGCCGAUUGUUCUGCAACUCCCAUGUUCGGCCAGCUUUGCAACCAAAUGAAAUAAGCUGAUUUGAGUCUCUGGGUCACUGCAAUCUCUUAGCAGUUCCAGCAGCUUAUCAACGCUUCCGUGUUCUGCAGGGCAUGGGGGCACUCGCAGUAGUCCUCUUUUGCAAACAGGUCUCUGAUGGCCUUAUCAAGCGCAGCAACAGUGUCUGGAGAGCCAGAAGAGAUCAACUUGGCGACCCUGGGGCCCACCAUGCUGCUGAAGCUCUUCCUGUUAGCUUCUAGCUCAGAGAUGGACUUACUCGCCAUUAGAGCAUGAGCCACCGGCUCUAAUGCGAUCACAGCCUCCCUUUCAUAGAAUAAACUCAUAAGUAUCUUCAUUUUCUCCUCAGCACGGCUCUUCACUUCAUCUUUCCCCAAAACAAAAAGAAACGGAG